ACCAAUUUGUCCCAGUAUUGGCCAGAGGAAUCCAUUUACAGUGGCAUCAGUGUUCAUCUGGUGCCUCUGGAGUCUUUGCUGAGUCUAAACAUUGCACUCACUGACCCCGUGUAUAUAAAGGAGGUAAUGAUACUCACAUCCAAGGAUCAUGUUCAAGACUUAAAGAGGCAUAAAAUAACCUAGUGUUUCGUGUGUCUUGUUUGGCACACUCCCCUUGCCUCUUUCAUGCUGUCAGUGUGAUGGCUCUGGCAGGACAGAAUGGACAUGAGCACAUGAAAAGAAGGAUAGGAUACUUUUCAAGGUAAUGGGAAGUGAACAAUCUCACAUUUCCAUUAUGUCUGUGCAUUCAUAGGUCUCACUGUGUGUGUUCAGGGGAAUGUGAUGAACUGGGAAGAGGAAGACCAUCAUUGCAUAACUUCCACUGAUGGAGUCUGCACAGGCAAGCCACCACCAUUCCAUAUCGUGGCUUUUAUGUGCUGUCUCAUCCUGGUUUCCGCUGUUUAAUGUGUAAUAUUUCCUCUCAUGCUGCCUUCCAGUAUAAAAGCAAAGGAUUUAAUCUCUGCAUCCCAGAAGCUGGAGCUGUUAGAGAAGAAUACAUUGUGAUGUGACAUCUGUCAGACAGAAAGGGUGACUAGAACAUGGUGACAUUAUGGGGGAAUGUGAUGAACUGGGAAGAGGAAGACCAUCAUUGCAUAACUUCCACUGAUGGAGUCUGCACAGGCAAGCCACCACCAUUCCAUAUCGUGGCUUUUAUGUGCUGGCUCAUCCUGGUUUCCUCUAUUUCAUGUUUAUUCUUUCUCCUUAUGCUACCUUCCAGUAUAAAAGCAAAGGAUUUAAUCUCUGCAUCCCAGAAGCUGGAGCUGUUAGAGAAGAAUACAUUGUGAUGUGACAUCUGUCAGACAGAAAGGGUGACUGGAACAUGGUGACAUUAUGGGUAAGUCACUUGUCUUCCUGCAUCCUUAUCCAUUAAGGGCGAUCACGCUAUCCAGUCUUUUGUUUAUCAGCAAACCUUUGAGGCAUCAAUGCCUUGUCAUCUCAGAUGGAUGGUAGGACCAUGUACAUUGCAGUAAUUAUAUUACAUCAGCUAUUCCAGGACUUCCUGUUCAGUGUUAUACUGGAGGUACUCUCAACUGGACAGUGCCUGCAUGUCCAAAUCUUUCUGCUAUAAUUGUGAAGAUAUUCCUGAUAUUCCUUUCACAUCACCCAUUGUAAGAACAGAGUCUCCAACACAUUUUUUCUAGGUCUAAAGAGGACCAUAUCAUAUCCCAUCCCAUUAUAUUUCUUGCUUGAACCAUCACACAGAACUGAGAAAUAUGAAGAGAAAAGACAAA
rnacentral:lncRNA from 1 species